GGAAGGAAGGGAAGGGAAGGGGACGGAGUGGCCGGGGCUGGCGCGGCGGGAGCAGAGCCCGCACUGCUUCUUCCUGAAGGGGCGGGGAGCAAGGAAGGGAAGAAAGGCAGAGGGAGUCGCGUCUGGUUCCUGCCUCCUCCCCGCUUCCUCGUCGCCAGCGUGCCAGGGCAAGGGGGAGCCCAGCGCUGUCCUCAGCAAAAGCUGGUGUUUUUUUAGGUCCAAAAAUAAAGGAACCCUAGAAUGAGCCUCCUAGGGACCAGGCCUAGAGGAGAAAAAAGGAGAAGCGCCAGACAAGGGUGCUAUUCACUGACCCGGUUGGGUUAAUACAAACACCCACACCCCGGGAAGGAGAGUAGCGGAGACAGAGCUUGGAGGGCGAGUGUGAGCGGAGAGCCCGGCGGGGGAGCGGUCAAGGCCACAGACUGGAUCGUUGAGGUGAAUCAUGUCAGGGCUUUGCACUGGACCUGGAAGCCUGGGACAAGCACACAAAACAUCCUGUGGCCGGGAGGUGCCCCCCUGAAAGAGGCAAAAAAGAUAGGGCUCUUGGAAAGGCUGGAUCUGAACAACGCUGCCUGCAUGACCUCCAUUUUCCAGCCUCAAUGAAGCUCCAAACCAGCCAACCGAAGCCCACCCUCCGCACCCCCACCCCCGUGCUCAGGGUGUCUACCCCUUCUGAAGCUGCUCUUAUUUUUUAUUUUCAUUAAUGCAUUUUUAAGAGUGAAAGGCGCGCGCACAUGCACACGCGCGCACAUGCACACGCGCGCACAUGCACACGCGCGCACAUGCACACACGCACGCGCGGGCUCGCACCCAGCGGCGGCGGCAGGUACGGCGGGGACAGGGUGCCCCGACUGUCAGUGCCUCUGAUCCCGGCCCGCCUCGUCCCCCGCA